AGAUUAAGUUAUUAAGGGCGCACGGUGGAUGCCUUGGCACUAGAAGCCGAUGAAGGACGUUACUAACGACGAUAUGCUUUGGGUAGCUGUAAGUAAGCGUUGAUCCAGAGAUUUCCGAAUGGGGGAACCCAACAUGAGUUAUGUCAUGUUAUCGACAUGUGAAUUCAUAGCAUGUCAGAAGGCAGACCCGGAGAACUGAAACAUCUUAGUACCCGGAGGAAGAGAAAGAAAAAUCGAUUCCCUGAGUAGCGGCGAGCGAAACGGGAAGAGCCCAAACCAACAAGCUUGCUUGUUGGGGUUGUAGGACACUCUAUACGGAGUUACAAAAGAACAUGUUAGACGAAUCAUCUGGAAAGAUGAAUCAAAGAAGGUAAUAAUCCUGUAGUCGAAAACAUAUUCUCUCUUGAGUGGAUCCUGAGUACGACGGAGCACGUGAAAUUCCGUCGGAAUCUGGGAGGACCAUCUCCUAAGGCUAAAUACUCUCUAGUGACCGAUAGUGAACCAGUACCGUGAGGGAAAGGUGAAAAGUACCCCGGAAGGGGAGUGAAAGAGAACUUGAAACCGUGUGCUUACAAGUAGUCAGAGCCCGUUAAUGGGUGAUGGCGUGCCUUUUGUAGAAUGAACCGGCGAGUUACGAUCUGAUGCAAGGUUAAGCAGCAAAUGUGGAGCCGCAGCGAAAGCGAGUCUGAAUAGGGCGUUGAGUAUUUGGUCGUAGACCCGAAACCAGGUGAUCUACCCUUGGUCAGGUUGAAGUUCAGGUAACACUGAAUGGAGGACCGAACCGACUUACGUUGAAAAGUGAGCGGAUGAACUGAGGGUAGCGGAGAAAUUCCAAUCGAACUUGGAGAUAGCUGGUUCUCUCCGAAAUAGCUUUAGGGCUAGCCUCAAGUGAUGAUUAUUGGAGGUAGAGCACUGUUUGGACGAGGGGCCCCUCUCGGGUUACCGAAUUCAGACAAACUCCGAAUGCCAAUUAAUUUAACUUGGGAGUCAGAACAUGGGUGAUAAGGUCCGUGUUCGAAAGGGAAACAGCCCAGACCACCAGCUAAGGUCCCAAAAUAUAUGUUAAGUGGAAAAGGAUGUGGCGUUGCCCAGACAACUAGGAUGUUGGCUUAGAAGCAGCCAUCAUUUAAAGAGUGCGUAAUAGCUCACUAGUCGAGUGACACUGCGCCGAAAAUGUACCGGGGCUAAACAUAUUACCGAAGCUGUGGAUUGUCCUUUGGACAAUGGUAGGAGAGCGUUCUAAGGGCGUCGAAGCAUGAUCGCAAGGACAUGUGGAGCGCUUAGAAGUGAGAAUGCCGGUGUGAGUAGCGAAAGACGGGUGAGAAUCCCGUCCACCGAUUGACUAAGGUUUCCAGAGGAAGGCUCGUCCGCUCUGGGUUAGUCGGGUCCUAAGCUGAGGCCGACAGGCGUAGGCGAUGGAUAACAGGUUGAUAUUCCUGUACCACCUAGUAUCGUUUUAAUCGAUGGGGGGACGCAGUAGGAUAGGCGAAGCGUGCUGUUGGAGUGCACGUCCAAGCAGUAAGGCUGAGUGUUAGGAAAAUCCGGCACUCAUAAGGCUGAGCUGUGAUGGGGAGAGGAAAUUGUUUCCUCGAGUCGUUGAUUUCACACUGCCGAGAAAAGCCUCUAGAUAGAUAACAGGUGCCCGUACCGCAAACCGACACAGGUAGUCAAGAUGAGAAUUCUAAGGUGAGCGAGCGAACUCUCGUUAAGGAACUCGGCAAAAUGACCCCGUAACUUCGGGAGAAGGGGUGCUCUUUAGGGUUCACGCCCAGAAGAGCCGCAGUGAAUAGGCCCAAGCGACUGUUUAUCAAAAACACAGGUCUCUGCUAAACCGUAAGGUGAUGUAUAGGGGCUGACGCCUGCCCGGUGCUGGAAGGUUAAGAGGAGUGGUUAGCUUCUGCGAAGCUACGAAUCGAAGCCCCAGUAAACGGCGGCCGUAACUAUAACGGUCCUAAGGUAGCGAAAUUCCUUGUCGGGUAAGUUCCGACCCGCACGAAAGGCGUAACGAUUUGGGCACUGUCUCAACGAGAGACUCGGUGAAAUCAUAGUACCUGUGAAGAUGCAGGUUACCCGCGACAGGACGGAAAGACCCCGUGGAGCUUUACUGUAGCCUGAUAUUGAAAUUCGGCACAGCUUGUACAGGAUAGGUAGGAGCCUUUGAAACGUGAGCGCUAGCUUACGUGGAGGCGUUGGUGGGAUACUACCCUAGCUGUGUUGGCUUUCUAACCCGCACCACUUAUCGUGGUGGGAGACAGUGUCAGGCGGGCAGUUUGACUGGGGCGGUCGCCUCCUAAAAGGUAACGGAGGCGCUCAAAGGUUCCCUCAGAAUGGUUGGAAAUCAUUCAUAGAGUGUAAAGGCAUAAGGGAGCUUGACUGCGAGACCUACAAGUCGAGCAGGGUCGAAAGACGGACUUAGUGAUCCGGUGGUUCCGCAUGGAAGGGCCAUCGCUCAACGGAUAAAAGCUACCCCGGGGAUAACAGGCUUAUCUCCCCCAAGAGUUCACAUCGACGGGGAGGUUUGGCACCUCGAUGUCGGCUCAUCGCAUCCUGGGGCUGUAGUCGGUCCCAAGGGUUGGGCUGUUCGCCCAUUAAAGCGGUACGCGAGCUGGGUUCAGAACGUCGUGAGACAGUUCGGUCCCUAUCCGUCGUGGGCGUAGGAAAUUUGAGAGGAGCUGUCCUUAGUACGAGAGGACCGGGAUGGACAUACCUCUGGUGUACCAGUUGUCGUGCCAACGGCAUAGCUGGGUAGCUAUGUAUGGACGGGAUAAGUGCUGAAAGCAUCUAAGCAUGAAGCCCCCCUCAAGAUGAGAUUUCCCAACUUCGGUUAUAAGAUCCCUCGAAGAUGACGAGGUUAAUAGGUUCGAGGUGGAAGCGUGGUGACACGUGGAGCUGACGAAUACUAAUCGAUCGAAGACUUAAUCAAUUUUUAAA
rnacentral:rRNA from 1 species